rnacentral:tRNA from 1 species
GGAGAGGUGUCCGAGUCGGCCGAAGGAGCUCGCCUGCUAAGCGAGUAUACGGGCUAAACCUGUAUCGUGGGUUCGAAUCCCACCCUCUCCGCCA